rnacentral:misc_RNA from 1 species
GAUGAAGAACGUAGCGAAAUGCGAUAAGUAAUGUGAAUUGCAGAAUUCAGUGAAUCAUCGAAUCUUUGAACGCACAUUGCGCCCGCCAGUAUUCUGGCGGGCAUGCCUGUUCGAGCGUCAUUACAACCCUCAGGCCCCCGGGCCUGGCGUUGGGGAUCGGCAGAAGCCCCCUGUGGGCACACGCCGUCCCUCAAAUACAGUGGCGGUCCCGCCGCAGCUUCCAUUGCGUAGUAGCUAACACCUCGCAACUGGAGAGCGGCGCGGCCAUGCCGUAAAACACCCAACUUCUGAAUGUUGACCUCGAAUCAGGUAGGAAUACCCGCUGAACUUAAGCAUAUCAUAAGCGGAGGA